AGUGAACGCUGGCGGUAGGCCUAACACAUGCAAGUCGAACGGCAGCACAGGAGAGCUUGCUCUCUGGGUGGCGAGUGGCGGACGGGUAAGGAAUACAUCGGAAUCUACUCUGUCGUGGGGGAUAACGUAGGGAAACUUACGCUAAUACCGCAUACGACCUACGGGUGAAAGCAGGGGACCUUCGGGCCUUGCGCGAUUGAAUGAUCCGAUGUCGGAUUAGAUAGUUGGCGGGGUAAAGGCCCACCAAGGCGACGAUCCGUAGCUGGUCUGAGGGGAUGAUCAGCCACACUGGAACUGAGACACGGUCCAGACUCCUACGGGAGGCAGCAGUGGGGAAUAUUGGACAAUGGGCGCAAGCCUGAUCCAGCCAUACCGCGUGGGUGAAGAAGGCCUUCGGGUUGUAAAGCCUUUUUGUUGGGAAAGAAAUCCAGCUGGCUAAUACCCGGUUGGGAUGACGGUACCCAAAGAAUAAGCACCGGCUAACUUCGUGCCAGCAGCCGCGGUAA
rnacentral:rRNA from 1 species